rnacentral:rRNA from 1 species
AUGGAGGGCUUGGGUGUCUUCCGUCCCCGGCCUGUGCUGACGCUGCUCCUGCCAGCGCCGCGCCGUCAACCCCGACUGCUGCUGUGGCACCGAUGGCGGCCACUCCGGCACCACCGGCCGCCGCCCUUGCUGCCCUGGCCGCGGUUCCCUCUGCGGGCGCCUCCGCCAGCUUGCUGCUGCCGCCCUCAUCGUCAGCCCCUGUUCAUACGGACCUGGAAACAGAAGCUCUGCUGCGCCCCUCCUACGGGCAGCUGCGUGUCCCUGCCCAGGUGGAUGGGGGGGCUGGCUCCUCAAACGCUGUUGCUGCCUUCGAUGCCGGUCGUGUCGGCGCUUGUGACAGAUGUGGCAACAGGAGUGCAGGGAGCUCCCAAUGCUCUGGCAGAGGCUCCAGAGAAGUUGGGCUCUCCUCUGCUUGGUCCAUCUUUAGUGUCGGCAUGCAACGGCCUCUCUAUUGCCACCGCCGCUAUUGUAGCCGGGGCGGGCUGGGUGCAUGUGGGUCGGGGGCGACGUUCCGGCCGACGAGCUCCCCCCGAGCCGUCGAGGGAAGGUCUCGAGCGUAGCCUCGCCUUCAAGCGUUGGGCUCGAGGAAGGUGCUUUUGUUGCCUCGAGCGUGGCCACCAAGUCAGUGCAUGCCGUGAUCCAUUCAGAUGCAUUCGCUGUCGUCGCCCUGGUCAUCGGGAGAGGUUCUGUCGUGCUCGCUCUCCGGUUGCUCGCGACCGCUCUCCGAUCGCUCGCGGUGGCUCUCCGGUCACAUGUGCUCCUCGUCAGCGGAGCCGCUCCCCGCCCAUCCAGCCUUGUCCUUCGCUGGCCAGGAGUUGGGUUGAGGUUGUGGGCCACUCGUCGUUGUGUGUAUCGGUGCCGCCAAGGUCUCAAUCUGGGUGUUGCAAGGAUUCCAAUGUCUGCACCUCUUUGGUGUCUGCUUUGGAGUCGCAGCUUGCCCUGCUGCGCACGGAGCUCCUUCAGGAGGUUGAGCUGCUCCGCAUUGAGCUUCGCGACACUCUAGCCAAGUUUGAGGUUGCAUCGGUUGUGCCUUUGCUGCCUGAGCUCCAGGUUGGUUCCAUUGAUGAGGAUGCUGAAUGUUGCUUUGAAGAUUUUUCUCCUCGUGCUCUGCAUGUGACGCCGCUUGUUCGUGGGAAUGCGGUUAUCAUGGAGGUCGUAGCUCCAGUUCUGCAGAUUAUGCCUGAGUUGCAGGAGCUUUGUGGGGAAUCAUCUAUGGUGUUACCGAUGGAGUUGAGCGCAUUGGAGUCCUUGGUGGUGGCCAUGCCACCUUCACUACCACCGUCAGAGUCCUAUCAGUCGCCCGCCAUUCCGGGUUGUGGAGACUUGGUUGGUUCUGUCAAUGCCUCAUCUAUGGCCAUUGUGCAUGUGGCGUCUUUGAGUGGCGAGGUUGAUGAGAUAGGUGUGUUGGCACCUAACUCUGAGGCUCUUUCAUGUGACCAACUGGAGACGCCUGAGUCCAUCGUGCCAGUGGUACCCGUGACUAAUGAUGUUGAGGCGGUUGGUGCGUUGGCGCCUGAUCUGUGA